rnacentral:rRNA from 1 species
UACAGAGGUCUCAAGCGUUGUUCGGAUUCAUUGGGCGUAAAGGGUGCGUAGGCGGCGCGGUAAGUCAGGUGUGAAAUCUCGGAGCUUAACUCCGAAACUGCAUUCGAUACUGCCGUGCUUGAGGACUGGAGAGGAGACUGGAAUUUACGGUGUAGCGGUGAAAUGCGUAGAUAUCGUAAGGAAGACCAGUGGCGAAGGCGGGUCUCUGGACAGUUCCUGACGCUGAGGCACGAAGGCCAGGGGAGCAAACGGG